rnacentral:rRNA from 1 species
UACGUAGGGUGCAAGCGUUGUCCGGAAUUACUGGGCGUAAAGAGCUCGUAGGUGGUUUGUCGCGUCGUCUGUGAAAUCCCGGGGCUUAACUUCGGGCGUGCAGGCGAUACGGGCAUAACUUGAGUGCUGUAGGGGAGACUGGAAUUCCUGGUGUAGCGGUGAAAUGCGCAGAUAUCAGGAGGAACACCGAUGGCGAAGGCAGGUCUCUGGGCAGUUACUGACGCUGAGGAGCGAAAGCAUGGGUAGCGAACAGGAUUAGAUA